UACAUGAGUGGCAAGCGUUAUCCGUAUUAAUUAGGCGUAAAGGAUGCGUAGACGGUAAAAGCAGUUACAACUCACUAUAAUGGUUUACCAGGUAGAUUUGUAAUACCUUUUUACUUGAGUUUUUUGGAAUUUGGUAAUAGUUACAAGCUAGUGAUAAAAUACAAAGAGUUUGUUGGUAUUUCCGAAAGCGAAGGCGACUUUUUACAGAAGACUGACGUUGAUGCAUUAAAGUGUGGAUAGCGAAUAGGAUUAGGCACCCUAGUAGCCCACACCCUAAACGAUGAGUAUUAAACCUAUUAGGUUUGAGUUAACGCGUAAAAUACUCCGCCUGGGCAGUACAGUCGCAAGAUUGAAACUUAACAGAAUUGGCGGGAAUUUGUUUAAACGGUGGAACAUGUGGUUUAAUGCGAUAAUCCGCGCAAAACCUUACCAAAGUCUUUAGCGCUCAUUUUCAUUAAUAAUGGUUUAAAUAGACGUUAAAACGGUAUUGCAUGGCUGUCGUCAGUUCGUGCUGUGAGGUGUAGAAUUAAGUUUUAUAACGAACGAAACCCCUAAAAUUAGUAUUAAAAUCUUAUACUCUAUAUUGACAUUAUAUGGUUAUUCAUAUAUUAGUAUUGUAUUUGUGUUUUUUCUAAUUCUAAGAGCAAAUUACUAUUUAUAAUUUAUUGUUUUAACAAAUAAUAAAUUAAUUCAGUAAUUCUGAGUGGGGGUCGGGGCUGAAGUCAAGUCAUUAUGGUCUGAAUAUUUUGGGCUACACACGUGUUACAAAGGUAGAGACAAAAAGUUGCUAAAGGUUAAUCUGGAGCAAAACUUAAAAAACUACCGUGGUUCAGAUUGCUUUCUGAAAUUCGAAAGCAUGAAGGUGAAAUCGUUAGUAAUCGUAGAUUAGUACGCUACGGUGAAUGUUUAAUCAAAUUUUGCACACACCGCCCAUCACGCUCGGAGAGUUGAUUUUGGUUGAAGGGCUAUAAAAAAUUGUUUUAUUUUUUGAAUUUUAAUUAGUAAGGGGAACCUUUCUAAGAAACGUUAACCAGAGUUUAUAUUUUUUUUACAGUAAGUUAAUAACUUAAUCUAAUAUUUAUUUUAUUAGUGGUUAUGCGUUUGGCCUGCAAAUCAAGUUGGUUAUUUGAGUGAAGUUG
rnacentral:rRNA from 1 species